rnacentral:tRNA from 1 species
GAACCCUUGGUUCAGGGGUAAGCGUGAUUGCCUCUCACCCAGUCGGCCUGGGUUCAAUCCCAGAAGGUUCC